AACUGUUGGGAAUUUUUUUGUGGGUGGGGGGCAAAAUAUGUUUUGAGUUCUUUUCCCCUUAGGUCUGUCUAGAAUCCCAGAGGCAAGUGACUCAAGGUAACAGAAAGAAUCCAGUAUAAGGAUAAUCAGAACACCACAGGUUUACAGUUACUAGAAACUAGAGCACGAGCAGCUCUCUUGAGGUCUGUGGCGGAGCAGUCCAUUGGAGAAAUGGCUGGUAGUUAAUACUUUUUUCCACCCCUUAAUCAGAUUUUUAAAGUAUGUAACCCCUUAACUUUACCUGAUGUUUUGGGGUGGUUUCAACAGGGAAAAGGGGUGGGGGAGAAAAUGUUUUUUUCUAAGAUUUUCCGCAGAUGCUAUAGUACUGUUGAGAAAACUGAGUUAGAGAAGGAUUGUACCGCUGUGCUCUUGGCACCAACACCUUCAGGGAUUGGAGCUGCUUUUUCCCUUGGAAGAGUAUUCCCAGUUGAAGCUGAAAUGUACAGCACAGUGCAGCUUUGGUUCAUAUUCAGUCAUCUCAGGAGACCUUCAGAAGAGCUUGACUAGGCCAAAAGUUGAAGUUAAGUUUUCAAAUAAUGUAACUUUUAAAAUACCUUGUAUUAAAGGGGAGGGGCAAAUUUUGGCAAUUAGUUGUUGGCAGUGGCCUGUUAUGGUUGGGAUUGGGAGGGUUGGGUUUAGGUAAUUGUUUAGUUUAUGAUUUCAGAUAACUCAUGCCAGAGAACUUAAAUACUUAGGAUGAAAAAGCUAAGAAAUCGCAACUUCCAGGUUGGCAAGUAACGCCCAAUCCUCUAGAUUUUGUUCUUCCCUAAUUUUUGAAUCGGGCAGCUGGGGAAGUUAAUGAAGAUCCACUGAAUUCAAAGUGUAGGGUCUGGGGAAGCAGAGUGUUUUGCUGGGGGUUGGUUUAGGCCCCUGGGCUGACAUAGAUAACAUCUUGGGAAUUUUUUAAAACUCAAAAGUUGUUUGGAUGUGGUAGUGUGUGGUUCUCUUUUGGAAUUUUUUUCAGGUGAUUUAAUAAAACUUAAUACUACUAUAGGAACUUCAGAGCAAAGGAAGUGGCUUAAUGAUCCUGAAGGGAUUUCUUCUGAUGGUAGCUUUUAUAUUAUCAAGUAAGAUUCCAUUUUCAGUUGUGUAUAAGCAAGUUGUUUUUUUAGUGUAGGAAAAACUUGUAUGACUGCAAAACAAGAUGUUAAGGUAUGCUUCAAAAUUAUUGUAAAUUGUUUGUUUUAAGCUCGCAUCUUUAAGUAUUUGUAAAUCGUAACUGAUGAAAGAGGGUGGGCUUUUGUUGUUGAGGGAGGGGAAACCUUUUUUUUUCUGUAGACUUUUUUCAGAUAACAUCUUCUGACUCAUAACCAGCCUGGCAAUUAUGAUGGCCUAGAUGGAGAGGGGAACAGCUCCUUGGUGAAUGAUAAGUAAAGGCAGAAAAGAUUAUAUUUCAUACCUCCAUUGGGGAAAAGGCAUAACCCUGAGAUCCUUACUACUGGUGAAAACACUGUCUGCAUAUGCCAAAAAAAAAAAAAAAAAAUGAAAGCUACCAAUUUAAAGUUUUAAUGGAAUCUACCCUUUAAAAGUUAUGAUUUAUCAAGCUAUACCCACAUAACGAAUUGAUGAGAAAAUGAAUUGAUGAGCAAUACAAUGAAGAUCAAAUGUCCAUCUCAAAAUACUGCUUUUACAAAAGCAGAAUAUAAGUGAAAUGAAAUGAAAGUGAUAAUACCGCAUUAACCCUGGAAUAAAAGAAGCUGAAAUAAUUCAAAGCUGAGUGGGAUCAAGUGGAUUCAGAGGAGGCUGUGCUGUUUGCCAAUCUUUCGUUUGCCUCAGACAGGUUUCUGUUCAUUGUCAGAAGAGUUGCUUCAUUUCAUCUGGGAGCAGGAAACAGCAGGCAGCUGCUAACAGAUAAGUUUAACUUGCAUCUGCAGUAUUGCAUGUUAGGGAUAAGUGCUACUUAAUAUUAAGAGCUGUGGAGGUCUUAAGCGUUAAACAUGGCCACUUUCCUGAUCCCUAGGGGAUUCUAGGUUUGUGGAAUGUUCCCAUCUAGCCUCCUUAAGAUGGAGACAGGACUUGUGCCUGUGGGCUUCCAUGAUGGGAUAGCACCUCGCUCAGAGGCAGAGGCAAGUUAAUUCCUCAGGAGCCUCUCCAGAUUAGUACCUUAAUAUUGAUGCAAUGUUUAUAAAACUAAGGAAAUUUAUUCAGUAUUGAACCUCUGGAAAAUCCUGUGAAAGGAUAGCAUAAUGUGCUGUUAACAAGAAACAUGUUGAUUUGCUAAAAUUUUAAUGUUUUGUGAUGUAUAUUGUGCAGAAAACUAUUAAAUCAUUCAAAAUAAAACAUUUUUAAUAUAGAAUGUAUGCUUUUAGAAAGCAGCUGUCUCCUUAUUUAAAUAAAAUAUUGUUUGUUUGUAGUUAGUGUCGGGCAAUCUUGGGGGGAUUCUUCUCUAAUCUUUCAGAAACUUUGUCUGCGAACACUCUUUAAUGGACAAGAUCAGGAAUUGAGCGGAAGAAGAAAUUUAACUUAAGGCAGGAAAGACAAAUUUUAUUCUUCGUAAAUGAUGAGCAUUUAAUAAUUCCAGGCACAUGGCAAUAGAGGCCCUCUAAAUAAAGAAUAAGUACUUCUUAGACAGGUGGGAGAUAAUGAUCAGAAUAACAGGUAACUACACCUAUGCUGUUUCCAGAAAGUCAGGGCUCUAUAAAUUGGCAGUUGUUAAACUAGAGCGAUGUAAUACUGUCCGCAUUUCCAAAGUGUGCAUGUUAAUUUUCAAUGCUUAUGGUCAUCUCAUCUAGUGUUAGCCAGUGUUUACACUAUUGGCCUUUUAUAUGGACACUUGGGGGGCAUGUGGGUUUUUAAAGAAUUUUCCUUUGCAGUGGCUUCAUUUCAUCCCUCAUGAAGCUGUUCAGGAUUUUGACUUGCACAUAAGCGCUUGGCUCUGCCUUCUGUUCUCCUAGUGAAUGUGUGAGACCUGGCAGUGAGUUUAUCAGCAUACACAAGUAAAAAAUUUUCCCCAUGAUUUUGGAGGGCAGGGAGGAGAGGGUGGGCCUUACUUGUUUAGCUUUUUUUUUUACAGACUACACAGAGAAUGCAGUUGUCUUGACCUCAGGUCUGUCUGUUCUGUUGGCAAGUAAUAAUGCAGUACUGUUCUGAUCUGCUAUUAGAAUGCAUUGUGAAACGACUGGAGUAUGAUUAAAAGUUGUGUUUCCCCCAAUGUUUGGAGUAGUGAUUGUUGAAGGAAAAUCCAUCUGAGUGAUGAAGGCUGAGUGUUGAGGAAAUUUCUGCAGCUUUAAGCAUUCGUGUUUGUGAUUGAAGCCAAGUACCUUUUGCUGUGCUUUUAGGUAAAAUGCUUUUUGUUUACUCCUGGUAGGGGAGGUGGGGAGGGCACUGAAGCGUUUAGUCUUUUCCAGAUGCAACUUUAAAAUCAGUGACAAGACAUAAAUCCCAAACAAGCAGCAGUCUUCAAGAACUUUUACUGGCAAGUGGAAAUGUUACAGUUCAGUGGUCUUAGUGCAUUGUCUUUGUGUGGGUUUCUCUCUCCCCUCCCUUGGUCUUAAUUCUUAUAUGCAGGAACAUUCAAAACAGCAGACGUAUGCGAAGGGCCAGAGAAGCCAGACCCAGUAAGGAAAAAUAGCUUAUUUACUUUAAACAUUCCAUUUUAAAUGUGGGGAAUUGGGAACUACUACUAGUUCUUUCAGAUGGUAUUCUUCAGACUAUAGAAGGAGCUUCCAGUUGAAUUCACCAGUGGACAAAAUGAGGACAACAGGUGAACAAGCUUUUUCUGUUUACAUACCAAGUCAGAUCCAUUGUGGGUAAAUAACUUAGCGAUAAAUAGAUUUUCAGCUUUAUGCUGAAGUAGCUAGCACUUGAGCAAGUUGUUUGUUGGCCUGGGGGUGGAGGGGUGAGGUGGGCGCUAAGCCUUUUUUUUAAGAUUUUUCAGGUACCCCUCACUAAAGGCACCGCGAAGGCUUAAAGUAGGACAACCACGGAGCCUUCCUGUGGCAAGAGACAACAAAGCGCUAGUGUACUAAGGUCAACAAAAAUGGUGUCGGCCUCCUAACCCCAUCUAUCAGAAAUGAGGACCAGCCUCAACGCUGGCAGACAUGGCAUUGAGCUUCUGGGGAUUGAAGCAUCCAAGGGAAUGCUUAAGUACCUUGUAAAUCCCGGGGCUUACCCGAACAAUGAGGCUGUUUUUAUAGCAGCUCUGAAAGCCCAAACCUCUAAGUGAUGCUUGAAGGGGAGGGAAGGGGAAAGCGGGCAACCACUUUUCCCUAGCUUUUCCAGAAGCCUGUUAAAAAGCAAAGUCUCCCCACAAGUGACUUCUCUGCCACAUCGCCACCCCCUGCCAUUGGCCUAGCGCAGACCCUUCACCCCUCACCUCGAUGCUGCCAGUAGCUUGGAUCCUUGUGGUCAUGACCGAUAUCGGUUGCAAGGUAACAGUGGUGCCGAGGUCCUCGGUGGGUUGCACUGCUAGAGGCCAUUAAUUUGCCUGCAAAUGGUUGUUACUAAAACCACAACUGAAGGCUCUAAGAUGUUUGAAAUAACACUAUUCAGUGGUUAAAACAGACUAGUCAAUGCAGAAUAACAUUUUAAGAACUGUAAUGUUGGGUGGGAAGGUGUAAGUGGAGACAAGCUCAGUGGUCGAGAGGGCUGAUGGGUGGGAGUGCAAAAAUUCUCUGCUAAGACUUUUUCAGGUGAACAUAACAGACUUGGCCAAGCUAGCAUCUUAGCUGAAGCAGAUGCUCCAGUGCUCUUCAGUAGGGCUGUAAAGGUUUUUCUUUUCCUGAGAAAACAAAAUUUUGUUUUCUCAGGUUUUGCUUUUUGGCCUUUUCCUAGCUUUUUUUAAAAAAAAAGCAAAAGAUGCUGGUGGUUGGCACUCCUGGUUUCCAGGACGGGGUUCAAAUCCCUGUGGCGUCUUUGCUUGACAGUAACCUCUGCCUUCAGGACUCUGCGUCCUCUUACCUUCAGCCAGCUGCUAGCCAGGCUCUGGAGCUGGGAAUAAGUCGCUUUUGAAUGUGUCAAAUCUGUAUCAGUUUGUAUUUACAUGGGAACAUAACUGCCUUGUCUUUAAUUUUCAGGUAUUCCUCGUGCAUCUAGUCUUUGGAGAAGCCUCACAAAAACUUGCAAGAUUUCAUAUUAAUAAAAAUUGAAAAGCUCUUCAUUGGUUGUGAUUGUUUUGUGUAUAAACCAAAUUUCUGUCCAUGAGUAGAUGGGAGAAGAUGGGUUUUUCGUGGGGAUUCUGCCGUGUUGCUGUUUAGUUUGCCUAAUAACAAGUACACAUCACUGCUACAACAUACUCUUCAAGUGGCGGGGGGACUUGGAGGGGGCGUGGUGUGGGUGAGUGAUCUAGUAACAUGCCCUCAGAAACAUGGGAGCUUUAAAAAGGCAGCCUCUUCCUGUUGUCUGUGCUGGGGUGGAGAGAAGCGGCUGGGUGACGAGGAAGAGGGUUUCCAUGCCUUCUGUGAAAGACCCUUGUAAAUUUAAUUGGCAAUUUAGCCAGUAAAAGCUCUUCAACGUUCCUUAGGAUGACUUCAUGGUCAUUUUGGUCAUUAACAGUUUUUUCAGUGCUCAAACCUACAAAACAAGCUCCUGAUGGUGCCCUCCCUUCUGGAGAAUGGCCUAGAUGUCAGGUGAUAGUUCCUCUUGCAAAUGAAAGACUGAAGUAUCCCUCGUCUCCCCUUGGCCUCUCAAUUCCAGGGGCGGUGUCUGCUUCUACUCCAACCCCAUUGCCUGAGCAAGUGUGAGGCUCAGCCCAGUAAGUGCAGCCAAGCCUAGGAGAGGGGGUGCAGCCCUGAAGACACACCCAGCACACUAACCAGGGGAGCCUAUAGCCAGUGGCCGCGUGUUCUCAGCCCAAUGGAGGCACUUAAGUAAACAGCUUUUUCCUACAUUACUCAACUGUGGAAGGGUGACUACUAUGCUGCAAGUGGGGAAGCAGGCUCCAAUGAGUCACUGUCAAGCCAACAGGGCUGGCUUUUGAACCCGUCAAUCUCCAACGCUUCAACUCUGUUCCUGUUUCUUUAGUGCAGAUGAAGCGACUGUCCAGGUCAGCAGCAGACUAACCACCAACCUGCCCAGCUUGUGCAGACCCUGGGCAGAGGGCCUUUCUCUUCCCUAUAAAUUCACUAUUACGUAUGGGAUUUCAACUGUAUGGUUUCAGACGAAGAAACUCAACGCAGCAGUUUGGAACAAUCUGGAACAAAUGAAAUCACGGACCAUAUUCAGAUAAACCCAAAGUGCUUUUGCUUUGGACAGCAGUCCUGCCGAGUGAGAGUCAACCUCCAUAACCGACCGAGGGGCCUUCUGUGACCUUCUCAUGCGCACUUCCUGGCUCCAUCUUCCCCACCUCGAACCAAGGGCUCCUUCCAAGUCUCCCCACAGGAGCCAUCUGUUGGUCUAGAUGCUUUUUAUUUCUGCUCGACUAGUUGCCCUGGCUGAAACCUCCAGUACAAAGUUGAACGGAGGCAGUGAAGUGAAGGUCCUCAUCUUGUUCCUGACCUUAGGGGGAAAGCAUCCAGCUUAUCACCAUCAAGCAUGAUGUUAGCUAUGGUGUUUUCACAGAUGUCCUGAUUAAGUUAAGAAAGCCGCAUUCUCGCACUGCCUGAACACUGCCCACGUGUAUUUGGGAAGAAUGCAUAUCCUGCUGUGCUAGGUCUCUUUCACUGUCAAGAACUCUUGUGAUUACAUUGGGCCCACCCAGAUAGUCUAGGAUAAUCUAUCUUAAGGUCAGUUGAUUAGUAAAUUUAACUCCAUCUGCAACCUGAAUUCCCCCCUUUGUCACAUGACAUAUUCACAGGUUUUGAGAAUUAGGAUAUGGACAUUUUUUUUUCUUGGAGGGGGGCGGUCAUAUCAUUCCACCUACCACAACAGGCCAGAACCCUGAGAAGCUCCUUUUUUAGGUAUUGUAUUUUCUAAAAAACAAAACAAAAAUACAACCAUUUUGUCUUUGAAAAGGCAAUUAGUAUGAAGGCAAAGUAACUUUUACCUUAAAGUUAUCCUCAUAUGUUUUUGCAGACAUUGAAAUGUUUUCUUGAAUUCUGAGUAUUUAGAUUUAAGAUGAAGUUCAAAUACUUUCUAAAAUUAAAUUUGAUUAACUGUCACAUGAGAUCCACCAUUGUUUAAUAGCAGCUUUUCUGUUUCAUGACUUAAAUCUCCUAAAAUAAAUAAAAAGAACACAAAUGACAGGUUUUUCCUAUGGUAAGUUGUCAAGAAACAGAGCAUGGAUCAUUAGCGAGUAGCUCUGGGAGCUUGCAAUGGGGUUGAAUAAUGAAUAUUUUCCCCAGAAGUCUUUGCGUCCCUGUUAGCUUAGCAUUUCUAUUUUUUUGGAGGAAAAGAUACCUUAUAGGCAAAAGACAGUUGGAGGACUUUCCAAAACAUACAUACAUGUAUUUAUUGUGUGGGUAUAUAUAAUGAAAUUAUAUGUAUACAUAUAUGGAUGUAUACAUAUAUAUAUAUAGACACGUUUAUAAAAAUAAUUCAUGCUCAUUGUGAAAACUUCAAACAUCACAGAAUUAAAUAUUUUGAACUGUAUGCAAUAUUUCACUAUUUUUGACCUACAAACAGCAAUUUAUAGCUAAUAAUAUAGGAAGGAGACCUCUCUGUAAUCUCUGUCCUAGAAGAAACCACUGGCAUUUGGCGUGUAUUCCUCCAAAUUUGAAGAGUACGUCUGCGCACAGUUAUGGAUAGUAGAGUUAUUACCACAAUUAUGUAACAUGGUAAUUUUGCAACCUGCGUUCGAAAUGCUUUGUGGAGCACAGCAAAUCCUAGCACUGGUUGUGCUGCUUCCCCUUUCUGGAGCCUCAGUUUUCUCAU